rnacentral:rRNA from 1 species
UACAGAGGGGGCAAGCGUUGUUCGGAAUUACUGGGCGUAAAGGGCGCGUAGGCGGCCUUCUAAGUCGAACGUGAAAUCCCCGGGCUCAACCCGGGAACUGCGUCUGAGACUGGAAGGCUCGAAUCCGGGAGAGGGAUGUGGAAUUCCAGGUGUAGCGGUGAAAUGCGUAGAUAUCUGGAGGAACAUCGGUGGCGAAGGCGGCAUCCUGGACCGGUAUUGACGCUGAGGCGCGAAAGCCAGGGGAGCAAACGGG